rnacentral:rRNA from 1 species
AGAGUUUGAUCCUGGCUCAGAAUCAACGCUGGCGGCGUGCCUAACACAUGCAAGUCGAGCGAGAAAGGGAGCUUCGGUUCCUGAGUAGAGCGGCGGACGGGUGAGUAACACGUGGGUAAUCUGCCCUCGGGUGGGGAAUAACUCAGGGAAACCUGGGCUAAUUCCGCAUGAUAUUUCCGGUGCAUAGGCAUUGGAAAUCAAAGCUGGGGACCCUUCGGGGCCUGGCGCCUGAGGAGGAGCCCGCGGCCAAUUAGCUUGUUGGUGGGGUAAUGGCCCACCAAGGCUUCGAUUGGUAGCCGGCCUGAGAGGGCGGACGGUCACACUGGGACUGAGACACGGCCCAGACUCCUACGGGAGGCAGCAGUGGGGAAUUUUUGUCAAUGGGGGAAACCCUGAACAAGCAACGCCGCGUGGAGGACGAAGACCCUCGGGUUGUAAACUCCUGUCGGAGGGGACGAAGGUGUCGUUGGUUAAUACCCAGCAGCAUUGACGGUACCCUACGAGGAAGCCCCGGCUAACUCCGUGCCAGCAGCCGCGGUAAUACGGGGGGGGCAAGCGUUGUUCGGAAUUACUGGGCGUAAAGGGCGCGUAGGCGGACCAGACAGUCUCUCGUGAAAUCCCACGGCUCAACCGUGGAACUGCGGGAGAUACUACUGGUCUUGAGUUCGGGAGAGGAGUGUGGAAUUCCCAGUGUAGCGGUGAAAUGCGUAGAUAUUGGGAGGAACACCGGUGGCGAAGGCGGCACUCUGGACCGUUACUGACGCUGAGGCGCGAAAGCUAGGGGAGCAAACGGGAUUAGAUACCCCGGUAGUCCUAGCUGUAAACGAUGAGCACUUGGUGUAGCGGGUAUCGACCCCUGCUGUGCCGGAGUUAACGCAUUAAGUGCUCCGCCUGGGGAGUACGGUCGCAAGGCUGAAACUCAAAGGGAUUGACGGGGGCCCGCACAAGCGGUGGAGCAUGUGGUUUAAUUCGACGCAACGCGAAGAACCUUACCUGGGUUUGAACCGCCGGUGGCGAGUGCAAAGAUGUACUCUUCCUUAGGGACGCAGGUAGAGGUGCUGCAUGCCUGUCGUCAGCUCGUGUCGUGAGAUGUAGUAG